GGGGGGGGGGGGGGGGGGGGGGGGGGGGGGCGGGGCGGGCGGAGAGGGGCCGGCGGGCAGGGGUGCUCGAGUGGCGAACGGGGGGGGAGCACGUGGGGGAGCGGCCCAGCACUGCGGGAUAAGCCCGGGAAACUGGGGCUAAUACCGGAUAGGACGAUGGUUUGGAUGCCAUGGUGGAAAGUUUUUUCGGUGUGGGAUGAGCUCGCGGCCUAUCAGCUUGUUGGUGGGGUAAUGGCCUACCAAGGCGUCGACGGGUAGCCGGCCUGAGAGGGUGUACGGCCACAUUGGGACUGAGAUACGGCCCAGACUCCUACGGGAGGCAGCAGUGGGGAAUAUUGCACCAUGGGCGCAAGCCUGAUGCAGCGACGCCGCGUGGGGGAUGACGGCCUUCGGGUUGUAAACUCCUUUCGCUAGGGACGAAGCGCAAGUGACGGUACCUGGAGAAGAAGCACCGGCUAACUACGUG
rnacentral:rRNA from 1 species